UACAGAGGGUGCGAGCGUUGUCCGGAAUCACUGGGCGUAAAGGGCGCGUAGGCGGCAUGACAAGUCACUUGUGAAAUCUCCGGGCUUAACUCGGAACGGCCAAGUGAUACUGUCACGCUAGAGUGCAGAAGGGGCAAUCGGAAUUCUUGGUGUAGCGGUGAAAUGCGUAGAUAUCAAGAGGAACACCUGAGGUGAAGACGGGUUGCUGGGCUGACACUGACGCUGAGGCGCGAAAGCCAGGGGAGCAAACGGG
rnacentral:rRNA from 1 species